GGCCCAGUGGUGGAUGGUCCACAUCUGCACCAAGUAAAUAAGAUGGGAUCAAUGAUGUAAUGCAGAAGACGCUUGUUCGACUCGAGCCUGGGCCA